UUCUUAUCUAGAAUCUACCCGCAUAACGUUCUUGUUCCAUCGGCUUCUAGAAUCUAUAUCCGGUCAAGACAUCUACUCUCCCUCACUUCUCCUUCUCUGCUUAUAGCCUGGAUCUGCUCCGCAAUUCAGAUUAUUUCUGAGUUGCGGUAAGUUGUUUUUCUUCUUUUUCCUGAUCUUCUUCAAUUUGUCCAAUUCAAUGGUGGCUAUUUUUAUUCUUUCUUCAAUUUUUAGGAGAAGCCAGCUUUUUCAGAAUAAGCAGAACUCUUAGAGGUUAAACAUAAGUAGGAAUUAAGCUGUACAAAAAACCAAACCUAUGUGCACCAAGAGGAGGGAAGCUGCCUGGUUUUGGCACUGGUGCUCGAGCACUAUUUGAUUGUCCACAAGAAUGAUCCACGAACAGAGUUUUAAUAUCUGGAUUUGGCCUAGGAUUUUUACAUAGUUGGUGCUGCCAAUUUAAGCUGCAGCAUGCAUUCAUUGUCAGUUCCCAAAAUCACUCUGUCGAUCAUAAAUUAUCAAGCUCUAAAAAAUGAGCUGAAGAAAAGCUGCUGGUUGAAUACAGUUGUUAGUCAUGGUGAAGCUGUUAGAAGCUCAUCCCCUGAGACGACUAUUUCUCAUAUUCUUGUGCACCAGGUAAGUUUCACCACCUAAUCGAGUCUUACGCAUUUAUUUUGUCCGGUGGUGUCCGGCUCACAUUGAAACCACAAUGCAUAUUCAUUUGACGUCAUUGCUUCGAUUUGAGUUAUGAAAAGCAUGUAAGAAAGAUUAGAAAGUAGCACAUGGUCCUAUCACCUAUGUUUCAAACAUUUAGAUCAAUAUGCUUGAGCAAACAGUGAAACUCCCUGCGAAGAGAAUUUUUGCGCUUUAGAAAUUUUAUGUGAGACUACAAAAUAAUGAUAUGCUUAUUUUUGAAAUAAAAAUGUUAUUUGAAUGAAUUUGAAGUUGGAAAUAAAUGUAUUUUGAGGUUUAAUGAAUUACCAUUUCCUAGAGUAUUCCUAUAUUUAUUUACUGAUUUGUGAAGAUCCUUGGUUCUUCUCUGUUAUUAAUUUUUAGUUACAUUUUGAAUUUAUGCUUUACUGAAGGCAGAACCUUUAAAUUUGAAAUUCUUAAAUUGGUGGAAUAACAUCAAACAAGUACAAAUUUCCCAUUCAUAAUCCUAGAUCUGUCUCUUAAUCUAUAUUGUGAGCCUUUUUGAACAUAGUUGUAUAAUCAGUUUUAUCUACUACUUUUGACCUACACUACAUUUCUCCCAACAUUUUUCCCAUUAUAAUUCCAUACAAAAGCUUGGUAAUAUUGUAUACCAAAUCCAGCUUCUCCCUAUUUAGUACCAAAGUUAUUUUAAUGAUAAACUAGACAAGAUAUCUUGCUUGGCUUUUUCAUGUAAUUGACAGGUUCUGAUAUGUUUGUCGAAGAGUUUAAAGAGGAAGCUUAUGAUAAGGUGGUAAACUUCAAUGGUAUUGUCUUAGUUGAGUUCGUCGGGCCUCGGUGUGGGCGUUGACAAGCUCAGACACCCACAUAGGAAAUGACAACUAAAAUCUUGAAAUGUCUUGCUACUAUAGUAGCUCAAUAGUCCCUUGGCCAGUAGCUGUUUGCAUGGUGUGGAUAUUCUGAAAGCUGAGUAGUGGAUAUAUGUGAUUUUUCAGCCUCUAUGCAAGUGAGAGUUGUCUUUUGAUGGAAUUCUUCCACCAGGCACUAUCAACGACACUGAUAAGUUCGUAUGUAGGAGUUGGACAAGAUUCCCAGUCUAUGAAACUUAUUUUCGUCAGGAAUCGCCCUUUUAUGCUAGCUCUGUUGGGAGGUAAAUAUGGCGAUUCAGUUGAAGCAUGGGACUGUUUGAAUGAGAACGCAUGAAUAAGUGUGAAGAUAAUACAAAUAUCUGCGAUUUUCCUUUCUUAUGUUAAACCAUAUCAAAAUUAUUAAUUAAUUUGAAGGAAUGAAAAUAUAGAGCCUACAUCUGAUGAGUAAAUUUUAGUGUUGGGCCCGUGCGCAGCACGGGCAUCACCAU